GACGAACGCUGGCGGCGUGCUUAACACAUGCAAGUCGAACGGAAAGGCCCUGCUUUUGUGGGGUGCUCGAGUGGCGAACGGGUGAGUAACACGUGAGUAACCUGCCCUUGACUUUGGGAUAACUUCAGGAAACUGGGGCUAAUACCGGAUAGGAGCUCCUGCUGCAUGGUGGGGGUUGGAAAGUUUCGGCGGUUGGGGAUGGACUCGCGGCUUAUCAGCUUGGUGGUGGGGUAGUGGCUUACCAAGGCUUUGACGGGUAGUCGGCCUGGGAGGGGGACCGGACAGGUUGGGACUGAGAUGCGGCCCAGCCUCGAACGGGAGGCAAGGGUGGGGAGUGGUAUAUAGCGGGAGGGAGCAAAACGUAGCGACGCCGCGUGGGGGAGAAGGAGAAUGGGGUCGGAGGGUACUCUCGUCUUGGAGGAGAAGAGAGUGACGGUAAUGGAUAAGGAAGCAACGGCUAACUACGUG
rnacentral:rRNA from 1 species